rnacentral:rRNA from 1 species
UUCCGGUUGAUCCUGCCGGACCUGACUGCUAUCGGAUUGAUACUAAGCCAUGCGAGUCAUUGUAGCAAUACAAGGCAGACGGCUCAGUAACGCGUAGUCAAUCUACCCUAUGGACGGGAAUAACCUCGGGAAACUGAGAAUAAUGCCCGAUAGAACAUUAUGCCUGGAAUGGUUUAUGUUUCAAAUGAUUUAUCGCCAUAGGAUGGGACUGCGGCCUAUCAGUUUGUUGGUGAGGUAAUGGCCCACCAAGACUAUUACAGGUACGGGCUCUGAGAGGAGUGGCCCGGAGAUGGGUACUGAGACACGGACCCAGGCCCUAUGGGGCGCAGCAGGCGAGAAAACUUUGCAAUGUGCGAAAGCACGACAAGGUUAAUCCGAGUGGUUUCUGCUAAAGAAACCUUUUGUCAGUCCUAGAAACACUAACGAAUAAGGGGUGGGCAAGUUCUGGUGUCAGCCGCCGCGGUAAAACCAGCACCUCAAGUGGUCAGGAUGAUUAUUGGGCCUAAAGCAUCCGUAGCUCGUUUUGUAAGUUUUCGGUUAAAUCCAUGCGCUUAACGUAUGGGCUGCCGGGAAUACUGCAUAACUAGGAAGUGGGAGAGGUAGACGGUACUCGGUAGGAAGGGGUAAAAUCCUUUGAUCUAUUGAUGACCACCUGUGGCGAAGGCGGUCUACCAGAACACGUUCGACGGUGAGGGAUGAAAGCUGGGGGAGCAAACCGGAUUAGAUACCCGGGUAGUCCCAGCUGUAAACUAUGCAAACUCAGUGAUGCAUUGGCUUGUGGCCAAUGCAGUGCUGCAGGGAAGCCGUUAAGUUUGCCGCCUGGGAAGUACGUACGCAAGUAUGAAACUUAAAGGAAUUGGCGGGGGAGCACCACAAGGGGUGAAGCCUGCGGUUCAAUUGGAUUCAACGCCGGA